rfam:Asian citrus Psyllid, Diaphorina citri - Florida Strain, whole genome shotgun sequence.
GCUCCCAUGGCAUAGUGGUCACUGCACUCACCUUGCAUGCGGGAGACCCAGGUUCGAUUCCCGGCAGGGUCA